rnacentral:lncRNA from 1 species
UAAAUACUUUCAAAAGUGUACAAGACAUACAAAAUGUCCAACUAAAGUGAGUAUGAAAAUACUACAAUAAUAGUUUCAUACAACAAAAUGUCUCAAUUCAAAGUACAAUGCAUACAAAAAUCAAAAAACUAAAAGUCAUCAUUAUCGAAUUCGUCCUCGUCUUCUAUAUCAUCAUCCGUGCUGAAAUCAUCCAAAGGGCCUAGACCCUUUGCAGCUCAAACUGCAUCACCAGGACACGAAAGAAUAACCCCUACAGUCCUAAUAAAAGAGCUCAACUGCUGCUACAGCUUCUUGAAUUGUGAUGUUGUUGCCUUCUCCGUCUUCUUCUGCCUCUCUCUCUGUUCAGCAAGCUUUUCAGUGAGGUGUAGUGUAUUAUAUAUGUGUGUGCGUAUGAACUGUGUAUAUGUAUUGUAUUGUGCCCCUCUUGAAUCUGUGAGAGAAAAGUGUAUAUGUAUGGUGAUGUGUAUAUUGAAUAAAAAAUGGAGAGCCCCCCACUACAGUGUGUUGCUGUGAGUAUCUAUUGAGGUGUGUGUAUGCGUGAAUUGUGUGAAUUACGGUAUAUGGGGGUAUGGGGUGUGAGGGUGGGGUAGGAU